UACAGAGGGUGCGAGCGUUUGUUCGGAAUUACUGGGCGUAAAGGGCGCGUAGGCGGUCAGCACAAAGUCAGUUGUGAAAUCUCCGGGCUUAACUCGGAAAGGUCAACUGAUACUGUGCGACUAGAGUGCGGAAGGGGCAACUGGAAUUCUCGGUGUAGCGGUGAAAUGCGUAGAUAUCGAGAGGAACACCUGCGGCGAAGGCGGGUUGCUGGGCCGACACGUGACGCUGAUGCGCGAAAGCCAGGGGAGCGAACGGG
rnacentral:rRNA from 1 species